GAUGAACGCUGGCGGCGUGCCUAAUACAUGCAAGUCGAGCGAACGGACGAGAAGCUUGCGCCCCUGCGGUUAGCGGGGGACGGGCGAGUAACACGUGGAUAACCUACCUAUAAGACUGGGAUAACUUCGGGAAACAGGUGCUAAUAACGGAUAAUACUUUGAACGGCAUGGUUCAAAAGUGAAUGACGGUCUUGCUGACACUUAUAGAUGGAUCCGCGCUGCAUUAGCUAGUUGGUAAGGUAACGGCUUACCAAGGCAACGAUGCAUAGCCGACCUGAGAGGGUGAUCAGCCACACUGGAACUGAGACACGGUCCAGACUCCUACGGGAGGCAGCAGUAGGGAAUAUUCCGCAAUGGGCGAAAGCCUGACGGAGCAACGCCGCGUGAGUGAUGAAGGUCUUCGGAUCGUAAAGCUCUGUUAUUAGGGAAGAACAGAUGUGUAAGUAACUGCGCCCGUCUUGACGGUACCUAAACAGAAAGCAACGGCUAACUUCGUG
rnacentral:rRNA from 1 species